rnacentral:tRNA from 1 species
AAGAUAUUAGAANAAUCAUUUCAUAGCUUCGUCAAAGCUGAAUCAUAGGCCAAAUCCUAUAUAUCUUA